GUGGCUCAGAGAGGAGGGACUCAGUGUUCACAGAUCUGACAUGAUCUAAUGUGUUUGACAGAGACUUUGGUAGAAACUAUUCAGUCUGACUCUUCUCAGAGUGAACACUUCUACAAUGGAUCUUUGUUCAGUUUUUCUGUUCUGUGCAUCAGCAGGUAUUUAUUUGGUUAAUUAUAAUAGUUUGACAGAGACUUUGGUAGAAACUAUUCAGUCUGACUCUUCUCAGAGUGAACACUUCUACAAUGGAUCUUUGUUCAGUUUUUCUGUUCUGUGCAUCAGCAGCUGCUGUCUUUGCAAAUAUCAUCAAAGCAAACAAAACUGAUGUUUUUUAUGAAGAGGGUUCAGUUAUUGUAUUGUCCUGUAGUCAGUCACCUGGAGCUUCAGAUUAUCUCCACUGGUACCGUCAGUAUGAAAGAUCAAAACCUGAAUUUCUUGUACACACCUUUGCUAGUGCAAAAAGCUGUGGUGUCUGA
rnacentral:lncRNA from 1 species